rnacentral:lncRNA from 1 species
CACAGGAACAGUGCAGCCCUCGAGAAAUUCUGAAGGCGAGCAUCAGAGGUGGGAGUACGGACAGAAGAUAGACGUAAGUCUUCAGCAGAUCGUAAGGGACAUACUUGUGUAUAAGGGAGGAUAGAUAGGUGGGAGCAGCAUUAUGUAGCGAUUUGAAAGCAAGAACCAGAAUUUUAAAUAAUAAUAUUAAUAAUAAUAAUAAUAUUCUUUCUUUAACCUCUCAUGUUAAGAGCAACGUAAGAAAGCGAUUAGUAUAGACCAGUGGUUCCCAAACAUUUUAGGUUCAAGGUGUCCUUGAUAUUUCAGUAUUUUUCCAAGGCACCCCAAGUCAUAAUUUCUAGGUUGUAUAUCUGUACAGCUCUGUGGCAUUUACUGGCGCUAUAGUGUAAUGUACAGUGUUGGUGUUUGAAGGGGUGCUUGUAUAUAGUUAUUGUGUUUUAAUACAGGGGUGUGUUUGUAUGUAGUGUUUGUGUUUGAUUGCAGGGGUGUGUCUGAAUGUAAUGUUCACUUUUAAAUGCAGAUAUACAUUUGUGUGAAGUAUUUGUGUUUGAGUGAAGGGGUGUGUUUUUUUUUAGUUUGAAUGCAGGGAUGUGUUUGUAUGUAAUAUUUGUGUUAGAUUGCAGGAGUGUGCUUGUAUGUUGUGCUGGUGUUUGACUGCUUGGAUGAAUGCACAUACACUACCACAUCCAUACAUACAUGCACAGAUAUUCAUGCACAUUAACACACAGAUGCAUAUAAAUACACCGACACAUACACACAAAUUCAUAUAGACACGACACAUACACACACAUAGAUACACACCGACAUAUACACACAUGCACCCUGACACACACAAACAUUGAUACAUGCCCACACCAUAAAACAGAUACACACACUGACAUAAAAGCACACAGAUGCACAUACAUAGAUGUAUACACACACAGAUGCACACCCCAACACACACACACACACACACACACACUCACAAGCACCCUGACACACACAUACUCAUGCUCACUUACACACAUACACUCAUAAACAUAAACACACUCAUACUCACACAUACUCACACACACACACACACACACACAUACUUACACACACACACACCUACAUACACACACACACUCAUACUCACACACAUAGACACACACACUCAUACCCACACAUCUACACACACACACAUACACGAACACACACACUCACACACACACACACACACUCAUACACACACACACACACACACACACACCCGCUCCGCCUCCACCACACUUAUACACACACCACACACACCGCCUGCUCCACAUUCCAUGCAGCCACCGCACACACACCCCACUCCACAAUUACCUUACACACACACACACACUCAUGCUCACUCACACACAUACACUCAUACACAUAAACACACUCAUACUCACACAUACACACAUUCAUACUCUCACACACACACACACACACACAUACACACACACACACCCUCAUACUCACACACAUAGACACACACACUCAUACCCACACAUAUACACACACAGACACACACACUCAUACACACACACACACACACACACACACACUCAUACUCACACACUUAUACACACACACACACUCAUACUCACAUUCAUACACACACACACACAUAUACAUACACUUAUACAUACACACACGCACACACACACACUCAUACACACUCAUACUCACAUACACUCAUACUCACACACGCUCAAACUCAUACACACACUCACACACUUACAAGUGAUUUUUUAAAUAUCUCCAGCCACCCUCCUGUCAGCUUACCUUUAGUGCCAGGAGAGUGGCUUGCAGUCCUGCUGCUGUGGGAGUGAGGGGUCUGGAGAUCUUCGUGCUCAUCUCCCCUCACGCUGCAGCUGUCUCCUCCCGCGCUGCCUCCCUGCAGGGUGCUGGGAGGAAGUGACAGGCUGUCAUUUUCUCCCAGCUGGAUGACAGUACAGGGGUUCAGUUGCGGUCUGUAAGGUUUCCCCGGUGCUGUAAUCAUUGCUCUUCACCAAAGUGGCUUUCUUAAGUCAAGCUAGAAAAACCUCCAAUUGAGAAAGCCACUUUGGUGAAACGUGUUGUGGAUACUUUAACUGUUUGUUUUACAUUGUAUUUUAAUAAAGGUAUUUUGGCCUCUUUCCACUGUCAGUGUGCCAUUUAAACGUUUUAUUCUACCAGGCAUCCGAUUUCCAGUGAGGACUACUCUACAAGAAUCCACAGUGGGGAUUAUACCACUUACGCCUAUACACUGAGAAGUUAGUCUGCCCAAUUAAAUGUGAGUACCAAUUCAUUAUUUUAUACUCCUGGUACCUUUUAUACUGUGAGUACUGUUGCUGUGUCUUUUAUAUUUUUUAUGAUCAUACCGAUGAUAUAUCUGCCUACCUACACCAUCUCACGUAUCCUAUAAGUGGGGAUUGUACCACUGUACGCCAUCCAGACUAGAGCUAGGUUAAGCUCUAUCAUUUGUAAGUAGGACCAUACAUAGGCGUGCGCACGGGGUGUGCCGGGUGUGCCUGGGCACACCCUAAUCCCCGUGGCACGCCUAUGGUUUGAGUCCUGCAGGAACAGCGUUCCUGCACUCUUUUGAGCAGGAACGCUGUUCCUGCAGGCACUCAGUGUCCCCUGUUUCACCUCUUGCCCCUGUCAUGGGAGGNNNNNNNNNNNNNNNNNNNNNNNNNNNNNNNNNNNNNNNNNNNNNNNNNNNNNNNNNNNNNNNNNNNNNNNNNNNNNNNNNNNNNNNNNNNNNNNNNNNNAAAAUCAAUGCCGUGUACACGACCACUGAUAGGAGACGCUGAAGGUAUUAAACUGAUAAAAAUAGUACUAAACACACCACUCCUUUUUUUUGGUGAGGCUUUACAGGACAGAGUGCUUCUCCACCACGGGACAUGUUAACUCACGGGCAGCUGGCUCAUCAAGGAACCACAGCAGCUUUCCAUGUACAGGUAAGACACGUGCAGCUGGUAAGGGUUCAGGCUCUUCUUCCUGGAGGAUGCGCUGCAAGCCUGUUGAACGAGGUGACCUUGCUCGGGUCCCAGGUGUACGGUUCCUAAAAUGGCUGCCAUAUACACGUCCACUGAUAGGAGACGCGGAAGGUAUUAAACUGAUCAGAACAAUACUAAACACACCACAAAUAGGUUUCUCUCCUGUAUGGCUCCUCAAAUGAUGCUUAAGAUUAGAAGCGGCUGAAAAGCAUUUCUCACACUCCGAACAAAAAUAUAUUUUUUUAACAUUCUCUCCACUUUGAACGAAAUGACGUUUGGGAAGAGAUUAACAUAAUUAAACACAGGCAGUAAAAAUACAGUUUUUGGCCAUACCCUGUAACUUUAAAACUACACAUCCCAUCUUCAUAAUUACAUAUUUGGAAUCAGCACACUUAAAACAUAAACAUAACCAAAAAUCAGCCAAAUCCAUCAGGGGUUAAAAAGUUAGCUGGAGGUCCCUUUAUGACCGACCGCAAGCACAUUUUCCUGCCCAAAACAGUUCCAUAGAUUUGGGCUGUGAGGUCGGUCUAUUUCAGGGCUGAAAAAAAGACUAAGUCCCAUCGCCGAAUGGGACUUAGUCUCUGCAGCUGAAAUAAUUUCCCAUUUACUGAACCAAGUGGGAAAUAGCAAGGCAGGCACAAAGGGUUUGCACCAGGUCUGGGGACACAGGGGACACCGUCUUAAAGGGGCCGUGUCCCCAACAAGUCUGGGGACACGGCCUUAAAGGGGCAGUGUCCCAAUCUUCCUGAUGUCCCAAAAAAGGUGUUUAAAGGGCCAGCACCAGUCACAUAAAGAGUCCAUAAGCCCCAAUAUGCCCACCGACAGUCUUAAAGGGCCAUACACACCAAAUAAAAGUGCAUACAUUUUCACAAUCUCCCAGGGGCCAUAGUCAUGCGGGAGGAGGCUGGCAAGUAGGCUUCUCCACAACCCAGGGAAGCAGGGCAAUUUGCCAUUUAAAGGGCCCGUUACAAAUAGCAGUUUGUAACAAGGUGUCAAUCCAUAUCUGCCAAGUGACCCGAUGUAGGGGGACCAGUCCCUAUUCUGCUCUGUGUCAGUGUGUACCAGGGAACCUUAGGACAGGUGUCAAUCCAUAUCUGCCAAGUGACCCGAUGUAGGGGGAACAGUCCCUAUUCUGCUCUGUGUCAGUGUGUAUCAGGGAUCCUUAGGACAGGUGUCAAUCCAUAUCUGCCAAGUGACCCUAUGUAGGGGGACCAGUCUCUAUUCUGCUCUGUGUCCGUGUGCAUCAGGGGCUCUGAGGACAGGUGUCAAUCCAUAUGUCAAGGUGUCAAUAUGUCAUAUGUCAGGUGUCAAUCCAUAUUGAUUGUGAUUUAGGAAUGUUAGGUGAUUUCUGCCCUUUAUGGAUUAAAACCAGACUCUGUAUCAACUGUGUAAUUUUCCAUGGGAGUUUUGCCAUGGAUCCCCCUCCGGCAUGCCACAGUCCAGGUGUUAGUCCCCUUGAAACAACUUUUCCAUCCCUAUUGUGGCCAGAAAGAGUCCCUGUGUGUUUUAAAAUUCGCCUCCCCAUUGAAGUCAAUGGCGUUUCGGGCGGUUCGCCGGUUCACGAACAUUUGCGGAAGUUCGCGUUCGCCGUUCGCGAACCGAAAAUUUCGGGUUCGCGACAUCACUAUCUGCUAGACCUGAUAAACAUUUUCAAUUUUUUUUUUUAUUGUGAUUGCAUGUGUCAUACAGAGUUCUACUAUAUUGAAUUCAGACACUGUACCUGCGUGAUGUUUCUUUAUGUCUGUAUUUUAUUGGUUACUUUCCUACACAUGGUCCCGUAUGGACGUACAUGAAGAAAGGAUUGAGAUACAAAUCUGAAUUCCUAUUUGAUUGUAACCAGUUUAUGUAAAUUACAAUAUGAAUACUUUAAAAAUAGAAACAGUAUUGCUAACGUCUUGUAAAAAGUCAGCCCUUCUAAGUAGAAAUACGCUCCUAGUGAGUGUGCCAUGGACCUUCCAGGCAAUUGCGAGUAACUUUAAGGUUUGACAAUGUAAGAACGUGAUAAUUGUUUAAUAUAUACUCAUUUUCUCAACUCCUUUUCUGACUGUUGACCAUUUAGAAUGGGCCUUAAUGAAGUAUUCCUACUUGGCCAAAUCACUAUUCUUCUCCCUUUAUUCGGCGCUUCUUCAUUCUUCCCUUUUAUUCAUCUUUUAAUCUCCUUAUGAAGCAGCCUCUAUCGUCAACAUCCUAAUAUUUAUUUUAUUUUGUGUAUAUAUAUAUAUAGAUACUGCUUCAUACAAUAUAUUGUUUUCUUCUACAUCUAUGUAUCAAGUGUUCUUACAGCAUUUUAUGCUGGCUUGAGUUUUUUAUAUAAUUAAAUUGCAAACAAAAUAAAAUAAAAAACAAGACAUUUGCCACUAAUUAUGUCUCCUUCAUAUAAAGCCACUGAUCUCAGAUAUGGCUCUGUAACGUCCACUUAAACUAAUCUCUGAUAUCCCAUGCUGUUCUCUAAAUACGCUAAUAAUCAUGCGCAUCUGUAUAAUGUCACACAUGCAUGCUCACUGUAUACUCCCAGAAAUGAAUGACUGGACAUUCGUGGAAGUGAAAUAGAUUUGUGAGUGACAUCUAAUUAACUUUGAAAAGGCAAUAGACUGGUUUGCAGGAUUUUGUUUUAUUUUCCUAAGUGAAUGUGGCAUACUUUUAAUUUCUAUAAGUGUUACCUUUACUCACUCAGUACAAAAAAAAAAUACUGCCUAGGGCUUAAUGGGAAACACAACCUGUCUGUUUCCUGCUGUGUGUCUCACCACUUCCUCUUGGAAUUGGUAGAUAAAAAGGAUAGAACCACGAACGCACGUUUUCUGAACCUCUAAAUAACAUGUAUCUGGGAUCAAGCAGAAAAAUAAAGAUCCUCAACGGGCCUCCCAGUUGUUACAUAUUGAGGGCAAAUGUAUUUAAAAAAAAAAAGAAGAAGAAGAUUAAAGGGGAGCUCUCCUCCUCCUCUCCUCCUUCAUAGCGACAUCAUCGGCUGAAUGGGCAUGCGCAGCAGGAGCCGCGCGCGCAUUCAUCCAGUUCAUAAGAAAGCAUUUACAAUGCUUUCCUAUGGACGCUGGCAUCUUCUCACUGUGAUUUUCACAGUGAGAAGCAUGCAAGCGCCUCUAGUGGCAGGGAGCUCUCCUCCUCCUCUCCUCCUUCAUAGCGACGUCAUCAGCUGAAUGCUCAUGCACGGCAGGAGCCGCGCACGCAUUCAGCCAGUUCAUAGGAAAGCAUAUAUAAUGCUUACCUAUGGAUGCUGGCGUCUUCUCACUGUGAUUUUCACAGUGAGAAGCACGCAAGCGCCUCUAGUGGCUGUCAAUGAGACAGCCACUAGAGGCUCUAGAGGCUGGAUUAACCAUAUUAUAAACAUAGCAGUUUCUCUGAAACUGCUAUGUUUAUAAAAAAAAGGGUUAACCCUAGCUGGACCUGGCACCCAGACCACUUCAUUAAGCUGAAGUAAUCUGGGUGCCUAUAGUGGUCCUUUAAAUUCCAUCAUUAGACUGAUUGUAUUUAUUAAAGUGUACAAAAAAAGAGAUCUAAAAAGUGACAGUUGUAUUCAUUAUAAAUUCUGGCAGUUUUCACACAGAUUCCCAUUACGGAGACCAUCAUAUUUAGAGAGGCAGAAAAAAAGACAAGUGACACAGAACACUUUUUUUUGUUCGAAAAAAUGGCAGAACUAUUGAUAAAUAUGUUGUAUCGCUGAAACGAUGGCGUGUAUUAUCAAAUUAUGUUUUUAUGUGCAAAAGAGGCAAGAGAUAAAAAAAAAAUCCGGACAGAUUUACUAAAUUGCUCCAAAAAUUUGACAUAAAAGUGUUGAUUAUAUUUUGAUAAAUUUCCCCUAUUUUGUGUGUUGCAUUAAAAAUGUGGAUAAUAUUUAAUCAGUGAUUCUGAUUUACCAUCUAUACAUAACAUUUGAUCUUGUCAUUCAUUAGAUUUAAACAGAGAUAUUUCACAGAACACCAUCGUUUUAAACAUAAUUAAAUAUUACAUUUAAAGAUUAUAUUAUGUUUCAUUAUAUUAAAAUAUGCAUCUAUCUAACUGAUACAAAGCAGAAUCUGUUCAUCAUUUUAUUAUGACUGCAAUUACUUCAAUCAUAUUUUUUUUUUACGUAUUGGGGCUAGCUGUUUAUAAGGAAAUAUUUAUUUGAAAAUACCUUUACUUCCUCAUACCUAUCAGAUUUGCAACCUUCAAUUAUGCAAAAACUGUAAAUAAUAAUUAUCAGUUACCCUUGGGAAAACCUGAGAAAAUAUAAGACCUUUUUUUUUAUAUACUUGUUUGUAGCUGCAUUCUUUUUGUCCUACUUUGUUUGUUCUGUAGUAGUUUUUUUUUUUUACUGUUAUGUAUUCCCCACAUGGCUUUUAUGCAAAAACACCUUGCAAGAGGUCUUCCACACAAACACACAGGGGUUUCUAUUCCAAGAUCCUCUGUACCUGGGAGCCCGGGCACAGGAAAAGGGACCCAGUCUCUUUGCCUCUCAGAUACAGAAAAUUCACCCCACAUACAAGUGGUUUCCAACACCAAAUGACAAGGGUCUUUGUCCCAGGAUCCUCUGGGCCUGGGAGCCUGGACUUGGGAAAAGGGACCUAGUUUCUUUGUCUUCCAUUGGGUGUGAACAUUCUACUAGGGCACCGGGGUUGUCCCCGUUCGGCAGGCGAAUAGAUUUUGUUCAUAUGGGCACUCUCGAAUGUGAGAACAAGGCACAGCACACGAAAUAUAGUUUAAACACACAAUAAAAUGCAGUACAAAUAGGCAGUGGUUCUGCCACAAGUGUGUGAUCCUUAUCCGACAGACCUGUGUAAAGGAAGUGUCAUCUCAGCAGAUAUCCCUCUGAUCAGCUGACUAUUCCUGUUUGAUAUUACUUUAAAAAAUAUAUUUUUGGUGUAAUUCAACAGAAGUUGGUUAUACAGACAUUAUUCAGUACACAGUACGCUGUAGAACUUAUCAUUGUUAUGAAGUUCCUGAAAUAAGUACUGUUGAUCAAAAGAUUUUGUGUCCUGAGAAUUCACAGUAAAUUCAAAGUGAAUUUCAAACUUAGGAACACUACAGGGUCAGGAUAAAUGUGUAUUCCUGAACCUUUAGUGUUAAACCCUCCCCCCCCCAUUAUCCCCUCUUAUAUAAAGUAAAAAUGUACCUGUAUUCAAGAACCACGCAGGUCCGCUGGCGCUGGCCCCGCCCCAAAUCCUCCUACUUGGCUAAGCCUUCUUUCUUUUGGUUCACCUGAACACAAGUUGCUACGAUCUAGAACUUGUUUAAUGAUGUACCAAUGUUUAGAGGUCAACAACUGCACCUGCAUAUUUUUUUUUUGUACUUCAGCAUGAAACUGUUAUGGUAAGAUAUUUGAAAAGAUUGAGAAGGCAAACAUUUCAUACAUGUUGGUGAAACUCAAGUUCAAAUUCCAGUAAGGUAUUAAAUGUGUUUUCACUGUCAAUAAUACCAGUGAUCUAAAUUUGAAAUGAUAGACAAAGCGGAGGUUAUAUUAAGAGACUUGACCCACUUUAGGUGAUAAAAAUGUAAAUCAUAAAUGGGUGGGUUGCAAAUGGGAAUAAGCCCAUAUAGCAUUUUCUCCAAAUUUUGGUGUAUAAUCGACAUAAUUCUAGAAUGUAUGGGUUAUUACUAUGACAGUGUAUGUUCUUUAUGCAUAUGUAGCAUCUUAACAUGCAAAUAAUAUAAAAAAUAUUUUGUAGUUUAGUUGAUUACAUAGAUUACCUAGAAAUAGUUACAGUGUAACGCAUAAUUAUUAUUAUUAUUUAUUAUUAUUAUGUUAUUUAUAUAGCGCCAACAAAUUCCGCAGCUCUUUACAGUGGGUGGACGAAGACAUGUAGUUGUAACCAGACAAGUUGGACACACAGGAACAGAGGGGUUGAGGGCCCUGCUCAGUGAGCUUACAUACUAGAGGGAGUGGGGUAAAGUGACACAAAAAGGUAAGGAUAGUAUUAGACUAAUGACAGUUACAAGAGAGGAAUCAGUCAGGAGCUAUUAACAGUUUAAUUGAUACGCUUUUAUGAAGAAGUGGGUUUUUAAUGAUUUUUUGAAGGAGUGGAGUGGGUGCGCAUCUUACGGAGGAGGGAAGUGAGUUCCACAGGAACAGUGCAGCCCUCGAGAAAUUCUGAAGGCGAGCAUCAGAGGUGGGAGUACGGACAGAAGAUAGACGUAAGUCUUCAGCAGAUCGUAAGGGACAUACUUGUGUAUAAGGGAGGAUAGAUAGGUGGGAGCAGCAUUAUGUAGCGAUUUGAAAGCAAGAACCAGAAUUUUAAAU